UUAAGCGACUAAGCGUACACGGUGGAUGCCCUGGCAGUCAGAGGCGAUGAAGGACGUGCUAAUCUGCGAUAAGCGUCGGUAAGGUGAUAUGAACCGUUAUAACCGGCGAUUUCCGAAUGGGGAAACCCAGUGUGAUUCGUCACACUAUCAUUAACUGAAUCCAUAGGUUAAUGAGGCGAACCGGGGGAACUGAAACAUCUAAGUACCCCGAGGAAAAGAAAUCAACCGAGAUUCCCCCAGUAGCGGCGAGCGAACGGGGAGCAGCCCAGAGCCUGAAUCAGUGUGUGUGUUAGUGGAAGCGUCUGGAAAGGCGCGCGAUACAGGGUGACAGCCCCGUACACAAAAAUGCACAUGCUGUGAGCUCGAUGAGUAGGGCGGGACACGUGGUAUCCUGUCUGAAUAUGGGGGGACCAUCCUCCAAGGCUAAAUACUCCUGACUGACCGAUAGUGAACCAGUACCGUGAGGGAAAGGCGAAAAGAACCCCGGCGAGGGGAGUGAAAAAGAACCUGAAACCGUGUACGUACAAGCAGUGGGAGCACGCUUAGGCGUGUGACUGCGUACCUUUUGUAUAAUGGGUCAGCGACUUAUAUUCUGUAGCAAGGUUAACCGAAUAGGGGAGCCGAAGGGAAACCGAGUCUUAACUGGGCGUUAAGUUGCAGGGUAUAGACCCGAAACCCGGUGAUCUAGCCAUGGGCAGGUUGAAGGUUGGGUAACACUAACUGGAGGACCGAACCGACUAAUGUUGAAAAAUUAGCGGAUGACUUGUGGCUGGGGGUGAAAGGCCAAUCAAACCGGGAGAUAGCUGGUUCUCCCCGAAAGCUAUUUAGGUAGCGCCUCGUGAAUUCAUCUCCGGGGGUAGAGCACUGUUUCGGCAAGGGGGUCAUCCCGACUUACCAACCCGAUGCAAACUGCGAAUACCGGAGAAUGUUAUCACGGGAGACACACGGCGGGUGCUAACGUCCGUCGUGAAGAGGGAAACAACCCAGACCGCCAGCUAAGGUCCCAAAGUCAUGGUUAAGUGGGAAACGAUGUGGGAAGGCCCAGACAGCCAGGAUGUUGGCUUAGAAGCAGCCAUCAUUUAAAGAAAGCGUAAUAGCUCACUGGUCGAGUCGGCCUGCGCGGAAGAUGUAACGGGGCUAAACCAUGCACCGAAGCUGCGGCAGCGACGCUUAUGCGUUGUUGGGUAGGGGAGCGUUCUGUAAGCCUGUGAAGGUGUGCUGUGAGGCAUGCUGGAGGUAUCAGAAGUGCGAAUGCUGACAUAAGUAACGAUAAAGCGGGUGAAAAGCCCGCUCGCCGGAAGACCAAGGGUUCCUGUCCAACGUUAAUCGGGGCAGGGUGAGUCGACCCCUAAGGCGAGGCCGAAAGGCGUAGUCGAUGGGAAACAGGUUAAUAUUCCUGUACUUGGUGUUACUGCGAAGGGGGGACGGAGAAGGCUAUGUUGGCCGGGCGACGGUUGUCCCGGUUUAAGCGUGUAGGCUGGUUUUCCAGGCAAAUCCGGAAAAUCAAGGCUGAGGCGUGAUGACGAGGCACUACGGUGCUGAAGCAACAAAUGCCCUGCUUCCAGGAAAAGCCUCUAAGCAUCAGGUAACAUCAAAUCGUACCCCAAACCGACACAGGUGGUCAGGUAGAGAAUACCAAGGCGCUUGAGAGAACUCGGGUGAAGGAACUAGGCAAAAUGGUGCCGUAACUUCGGGAGAAGGCACGCUGAUAUGUAGGUGAAGUCCCUCGCGGAUGGAGCUGAAAUCAGUCGAAGAUACCAGCUGGCUGCAACUGUUUAUUAAAAACACAGCACUGUGCAAACACGAAAGUGGACGUAUACGGUGUGACGCCUGCCCGGUGCCGGAAGGUUAAUUGAUGGGGUCAGCGCAAGCGAAGCUCUUGAUCGAAGCCCCGGUAAACGGCGGCCGUAACUAUAACGGUCCUAAGGUAGCGAAAUUCCUUGUCGGGU
rnacentral:rRNA from 1 species